GCCAAACUUUUUUUACAACCAAUGGUCUUAGAACUUGACAAACUCUCACAACUGUCCAACCUCUCCAGCUGGCUGAGUUAUGGACUCUUCAAACUGUUUGCUGGCUGUGGGACAGUUACUCAUGAUAUUUAGGCAUCUGAACGGGGUUUUUACAGUUUAAAUUCUUGAUUUCUUCCUUUUGUUCUGGUGGUUGAUUUGUGUACCUGUCACAUUUCUGCAAUGGAUCAACCUCCACAUCUUGAUCUCAUUUUCCUCUUGAUGGACUGCUGGUCAGCUCAGCUGCUUGGGCUGUUAUCGUGGUCUGAUGGGCUUUGAUACUUAACAGAAAAGUAGCAUCAUGAAACAAAAGCUUCAAGAUGGACUGGAUGAGAGCCCAUGUACUAAGUCAGGAUUGGUUUGACAGAAUACAGCUCUGAUGUGUCAUAUUGAUGCAUAUAUGGAUUCCUUAUGGCUUAAAUACAGACUUCAGUUUGAAGGGUGAUAUGAAACAUGGAUAUAAUUUUUACAUUUUACAAAUGUGUGUGUGUUGCAAGAUGCUUCAGCAUCAGAGAUCCUACAGGCAAAGCAGACUGCUGUACCAAUAAGGUUUGGACCCAGAAGGACUCAGGCAUUUCCCUUGAUACUGAAAUUAAACAUGAUUUGUACAUCUGUAGGAUUCUGUGUUUAGAAACAUCUGCUUUGACUCCUGUUUCUGUCCAACCCUACUGCAUUCAGCAGGGUGUUCUCAGGAAUGCUGAAGUACUCUCUUGGACCUGCAAUAGAGAUUUACCUGUGCACGUGCAAACGCUGAAGGAACGUGGCCUGGGUGACUGACAGGUGUGUAAGAGAACAAAAAGAUGCCACUGCAAGGGAACACUGGCUUUGUUCUCACUGAAGGGUCUGACCACGUAGUGCCUGUUUUUUCUCAUGGUGUUUACAGCACAUUAAAGCCUUUUAUAUUGAGCCUUCUGAAAUGCU